UGAAUUAAAUGCAUUUCUUUCUCUCUCAUGCAUCGACACAUCAGCCAAUCAUAUCACUUCCUAUCUCAUUACUUCAUCUCAUCUGCCCUCAAAAACCCAAAACCAGUGGCUAACCCUAAUCCUCCUCAUCCUCACUCUCUCUCACAAACUUGGUAAAACCCUAAAUCUCACAUCACCAUGCCUCCACGCACUAUUCCAGCCAGAGCCAAAGGAAAAGGAAAGGGAAAGGAAGCAGCCGGUACGUCUCAGCAACCACCAGAUGUUCCUUCAAAUGCCUUAGACAUUCUUCAUCCUGCCAUUGCUGCUGAAUUUGAG
rnacentral:lncRNA from 1 species